AGUUUAAUGAUGGUUGUCUCUUUGAUUGCUUUUUGAAACAAUAUAUGAAAAAGCACACUUCACCGACUCUGAAAGCU